rnacentral:rRNA from 1 species
UUUCAUAGAGUUUGAUCCUGGCUCAGGACAAACGUUGGCGGUGCGUUUAAUGCAUGCAAGUUGAACGGUCAAUCUUGGACUUGUCUGAGAGAGAUAGUGGCAAACGGCUUAGUAACGCGUAGGUAACUUACCCUGAAGAGGGGGAUAAUUUCGAGAAAUCGGACCUAAUACCCCGUAAUUUUUAUUUGAUGUUGCAGAUAAAAUAAAGGCUAUCAGUUCGCUGAUAGUUGCUUUGGGAGAGGCCUGCGUCCUAUCAGGUAGUUGGUAAGGUAAAAGCUUACCAAGCCUAAGACGGGUAGCCGGUGUG